rnacentral:ncRNA from 2 species
AAUAAAAAGGCACUCCGAUUUAGCUCACCUAAGGUCACUCCUGCGGGGUGGCUAUGGGGGCUAAACGUAGGCUGCCUUGACUUUGUUUCAGGCAGCCGGAGGGUAUACGAGGAAACUGGUAUACCUCCCAACCUUGGAAAGGAGUUGCGAUCAAGAGGGG